rnacentral:lncRNA from 1 species
AAUUUUGAAAUAUUUUAAUAAACAAAGUAUUAGAAAAGGUUAUUUGGCAUAAUCCUCUUGACUGGUUGGACUCAAACAGAUAAUACAUUGUAGACAAAAAACUAUCACCUUCCUACUUAGAGGCAUCAUUGCCAUUUCAGAAGUGACAUUUGUCUACUAUCCAGAAACAUAUUCUUAAAUACCGAGACGAUAUCCUCACAACUUUUGUAUGAAAAAUUGCUCUAUAUGUAGGACUCUUAUCAUUUCAGCUCCUCUAUCCAUACAUUAUCAUUAAAAGUGUUUUUCAACGGCUGUUUGGUAGCAAUAACUUCGUUUUCGAAUAUUCCGAUAGCUGGUUUCUUAUUUCAAUACUGUUAAAGCAAAUUGCACUAUGAAGGGAACCAGAUGCGGUUGCAUAUUUUUAUAAACAAUUUUGAAGAAAUGAAUUUUAAUUCUCAUUUUACACUUACCACAACUGGGGCCUUGUUUCUAGCAUUCUAAAAAGAAACAGUUUCGACAAAAACUACGGGGAUCAUUUAAUUUUAGAUGUUUGAAGAC